rnacentral:tRNA from 1 species
GAGAGGCCAAGAGCAAUAAGGACUGCUAAUCCGCACCCCCAUGGUUAA